UACGAAGGGUGCAAGCGUUAAUCGGAAUUACUGGGCGUAAAGCGCGCGUAGGCGGUUUUUUAAGUCAGAGGUGAAAGCCCAGUGCUCAACACUGGAACUGCCUUUGAAACUGGAAAACUUGAAUCUUGGAGUGGUCAGUGGAAUUCCGAGUGUAGAGGUGAAAUUCGUAGAUAUUCGGAAGAACACCAGUGGCGAAGGCGACUGACUGGACAAGUAUUGACGCUGAGGUGCGAAAGCGUGGGGAGCAAACAGG
rnacentral:rRNA from 1 species